rnacentral:rRNA from 1 species
UUGCCCUAGUAACGGCGAGUGAAGCGGCAACAGCUCAAAUUUGAAAUCUGGCGUCUUUGGCGUCCGAGUUGUAAUUUGCAGAGGGCGCUUUGGCAUUGGCAGCGGUCCAAGUUCCUUGGAACAGGACGUCACAGAGGGUGAGAAUCCCGUACGUGGUCGCUAGCCUUUACCGUGUAAAGCCCCUUCGACGAGUCGAGUUGUUUGGGAAUGCAGCUCUAAAUGGGAGGUAAAUUUCUUCUAAAGCUAAAUACUGGCCAGAGACCGAUAGCGCACAAGUAGAGUGAUCGAAAGAUGAAAAGCACUUUGGAAAGAGAGUUAAAAAGCACGUGAAAUUGUUGAAAGGGAAGCGCUUGCAGCCAGACUUGCCUGUAGUUGCUCAUCCGGGUUUUUACCCGGUGCACUCUUCUAUAGGCAGGCCAGCAUCAGUUUGGGCGGUUGGAUAAAGGUCUCUGUCAUGUACCUCUCUUCGGGGAGAACUUAUAGGGGAGACGACAUGCAACCAGCCUGGACUGAGGUCCGCGCAUCUGCUAGGAUGCUGGCGUAAUGGCUGUAAGCGGCCCGUCUUGAAACACGGACCAAGGAGUCUAACAUCUAUGCGAGUGUUUGGGUGUCAAGCCCGAGCGCGUAAUGAAAGUGAACGGAGGUGGGAACCCCUCGGGGUGCACCAUCGACCGAUCCUGAUGUCUUCGGAUGGAUUUGAGUAAGAGCAUAGCUGUUGGGACCCGAAAGAUGGUGAACUAUGCUUGAAUAGGGUGAAGCCAGAGGAAACUCUGGUGGAGGCUCGCAGCGGUUCUGACGUGCAAAUCGAUCGUCAAAUUUGGGCAUAGGGGCGAAAGACUAAU